rnacentral:rRNA from 1 species
AGUGAACGCUGGCGGCAGGCCUAAUACAUGCAAGUCGAACGGCAGCACAGUGGAGCUUGCUCCAUGGGUGGCGAGUGGCGGACGGGUGAGGAAUACAUGGGAAUCUGCCCAGUCGUGGGGAUAACGUAUGGAAACGUACGCUAAUACCGCAUGCGCCCUUCGGGGGAAAGUCGGGGACCGCAAGGCCUGACGCGAUUGGAUAAGCCCAUGUUCGAUUAGCUAGUUGGCGGGGUAACGGCCCACCAAGGCGACGAUCGAUAGCUGGUCUGAGAGGAUGAUCAGCCACACUGGAACUGAGACACGGUCCAGACUCCUACGGGAGGCAGCAGUAGGGAAUAUUGGACAAUGGGCGCAAGCCUGAUCCAGCCAUGCCGCGUGAGUGAAGAAGGCCCUCGGGUUGUAAAGCUCUUUUGUUGGGAAGAAAGCAGUUGGUUAAUACCCGACUGUUCUGACGGUACCCAAAGAAUAAGCACCGGCUAACUUCGUGCCAGCAGCCGACGG